rnacentral:rRNA from 1 species
UGACCAAAGCAUCCAGAAUGCACCUGAGCUCAUCAAAUCUCCGAAGCUAAGCAGGACUGAACCUGGCUAGCGCUUGGAUGGGGGACCACCUUGAAUAGACAGGGUGUUAUAUAUG